UUUUUAGUAGUGACCUGGAGUGUCUCCAAGAUCCAAGUGCGAAAAUAACAGAAGAAAGCCUUCCAGAUUCAGAGAAUGCAAGAAGUGUUGCAAUGCUAAGCCCAGUACUUCUAAACAGGGCUCUCAAAUGAUGAAGAAGGUAUCAUCAGCUCUGUCAAAGGUGUUUUCAAGAUCUAACGCCAAUCUUCCCAAAUC